rnacentral:misc_RNA from 1 species
GAUGAAGAACGUAGCGAAAUGCGAUAAGUAAUGUGAAUCGCAGAAUUCAGUGAAUCAUCGAAUCUUUGAACGCACAUUGCGCCCGUCAGUAUUCUGGCGGGCAUGCCUGUUCGAGCGUCAUUACAACCCUCAGGCCCCCGGGCCUGGCGUUGGGGAUCGGCGGAGCCCCCCGUGGGCACACGCCGUCCCCCAAAUACAGUGGCGGUCCCGCCGCAGCUUCCAUCGCGUAGUAGCUAACACCUCGCGACUGGAGAGCGGCGCGGCCACGCCGUAAAACACCCAACUCUUCUGAAGUUGACCUCGAAUCAGGUAGGAAUACCCGCUGAACUUAAGCAUAUCAAUAAGCGGAGAA